rnacentral:rRNA from 1 species
GGCUUACCAAGGCAACGAUGCGUAGCCGACCUGAGAGGGUGAUCGGCCACAUUGGAACUGAGACACGGUCCAGACUCCUACGGGAGGCAGCAGUGGGGAAUAUUGCGCAAUGGGGGAAACCCUGACGCAGCAACGCCGCGUGGGUGAUGAAGGUCUUCGGAUUGUAAAGCCCUGUUUUCUAGGACGAUAAUGACGGUACUAGAGGAGGAAGCCACGGCUAACUACGUGCCAGCAGCCGCGGUAAUACGUAGGUGGCGAGCGUUGUCCGGAUUUACUGGGCGUAAAGGUGCGUAGGCGGAUGUUUAAGUGGGAUGUGAAAUCCCCGGGCUUAACCUGGGGGCUGCAUUCCAAACUGGAUAUCUAGAGUGCAGGAGAGGAAAGCGGAAUUCCUAGUGUAGCGGUGAAAUGCGUAGAGAUUAGGAAGAACACCAGUGGCGAAGGCGGCUUUCUGGACUGUAACUGACGCUGAGGCACGAAAGCGUGGGUAGCAAACAGGAUUAGAUACCCUGGUAGUCCACGCCGUAAACGAUGGAUACUAGGUGUAGGGGGUAUCAACUCCCCCUGUGCCGCAGUUA